GGGCGCAAGCCUGAUCCAGCAAUGCCGCGUGAGUGAAGAAGGCCUUCGGGUUGUAAAGCUCUUUCAGUUGAGAAGAAAAAAUUCUGGCUAAUACCCAGAAUUCAUGACGGU
rnacentral:rRNA from 1 species